GGACUACACGGGUUUCUAAUCCUGUUUGCUCCCCACGCUUUCGCACCUCAGUGUCAGUUUAAACCCAGGUCGCCGCCUUCGCCACUGGUGUUCUUUCCGAUCUCUACGCAUUUCACCGCUACACCGGAAAUUCCACGACCCUCUGUCAAACUCUAGAUAAACAGUCUUCAACGCCAUUCCCAGGUUAAGCCUAGGGCUUUCACAUCAAACUUAUUUAUCCACCUACAUGCGCUUUACGCCCAGUAAUUCCGAUUAACGCUUGCACCCUCUGUAUUACCGCGGCUGCUGGCAC
rnacentral:rRNA from 1 species